rnacentral:lncRNA from 1 species
AUAUUAUUAUAAUUGAUGAAGUUUUUUUUUUUUUUUUUUAGAGAUAGGUAGCACGCUAUCCGCUUCGUUUAUUUUAUUUAAAAAUAAACUUAGUUGGAAAUAUGAAUCAACUAUGAUUCGAACUUGAAUUUCGGGCACCAACUAUUAAGCCCUUUGCCACUUGCUCUAGAAACGGUCAAUAUAAUUAAUGAAGUUAAUAUGAAGAUUUUCUAUUGCCUCAACACAAGAUGCGAAAUGUAAUGUUAAGUUGAUUAACAUAGCGAGUUAUCAAUAAUACAUAUAAC